UACGGAGGGAGCAAGCGUUGCUCGGAAUCACUGGGCGUAAAGGGCGUGUAGGCGGGACGGCCAGUCGGAUGUGAAAGCCCCGGGCUCAACCCGGGAAGUGCAUUCGAUACUGCCGUUCUUGAGUAUGGUAGGGGAGAGCGGAAUUCCUGGUGUAGCGGUGAAAUGCGUAGAUAUCAGGAAGAACACCUGUGGCGAAGGCGGCUCUCUGGACCAUAACUGACGCUGAGGCGCGAAAGCUAGGGGAGCAAACGGG
rnacentral:misc_RNA from 1 species